rnacentral:lncRNA from 1 species
UAUUUCAGCCCUGGGAGAAUUCCACCUUCUGAAUAGUUUUCUCAAGCUAGAUAAUCAUAGGAAAGCAAGGACUUUCCCAUAAUUUUUAGUUCCUCUAAGCCAGUGCUUUCAAACUUUAGUUUGUGAUCCAUUAAUGGCUUGUAAAUUCAAUUUAGUGAGUCACAAUAAUUUUUAUAUGUUCUGGGUACCCAGUUACACUGUUACAAAGACAUACCUGAGACCGGGUAAUUUAUAAAGAAAAUAGGUUUAAUGUGCUCACGGUUCUGUGGGCUAUACAGGCAUCUGCAUCUGGGGAGGCUUCAGAAAACUUACAAUCAUAGCGGAAGUGGAAGUGGGCAUAUUUUCCCAUGGUUGGCAGGAGAGACAGAGGGAGAGUGUGCAUGUGUGUGGACACCCAAGCGAGUGAAGGGGGAAGUGCUACAAACUUUCCACUUUCUGACAACGGUAGCUCUUGAGAACUCACUAUCAACUAGAACAGCAAGGGGGAAAUCCACCCCAAUGAUCCAAUCAUUUCCACCAGGUCCCUCCCCCAAUUUUGGAGAUUACAAUUUAACAUGAGAUUUGGGUAGGGACACAGAGCCAAACCAUAUCACUUUCUUUUUCUUCUCUUUUUUUUUGAGACAGGGUUUUACUCUCUUGGGAGGCUGGAGUGCAGUGGGGUGAUCAUGGCUUGCUGAAACCUCUGCCUCUUGGGCUCAAGCAAUCCUCCCACCUCAGCCUCCUGAGUAGCUGUGCCACCACGCCUGGCUAAUUUUUGUACUUUUUGUUUCGCCAUGUUGGCCAGGCUGGUCUUGACUCCUGGCCUCAGGUGAUCUGCCCACCUUGGCCUCCCAAAGUGCUAGAAUUAUAAGCGUGAGCCACUGUGCCUGAACUAAAAUUUCUUUUUUUACCUCAUCCCUUUUACUUCUAAUCUUCUGUCUCUGAAGUAUGCUUGUUUUAGUUUGCUUUUUCCUUUUUCUUUCAACAACUCUCCUUCAAUCUCUACUGAUUCAUCUGUAGUCUAUUUAGUCGUUAUAUUGGGUAUAUUUACCUUUCUAGGUUUCAAAGCUUAGGAGAUAGCAAGGACUUUGCCUAAAAGAUCCUGAGCAGGGUACCAGUAGUUUUGGAUAAUCAUGGUAACUUCUGAGGUUUUUGUAUUAAGGAACGUGUUAUCAGAUAUCUAAUGUCACACACUAUGUGUGAGUGCAGUUUCUCAUGAAUUGCAG